AUCAGGCUAGGGCGAGUUCAAUCUUCCCAACCUAACUUUCUAAAGCUGGCAACAGGCAGCCUGGGCCUAGCUACGCUAACUCUUGACCUAGCCUGGCUCGGCCUCGGCCUUGGCCUAGCCCAGCCCAGCCCAGCCCAGCCCAGCCUACCGAAGCCCAAACUUACUUUUAGGGCUGGCUGACCGAGCCGGGGGGCCUGGGCCACCCUUCCCAUUGCCACCCCUGUUAAUUUUCCUAGCUCCGCGUGUAAUCCGAGCCAUGAGGCGAGCCGAGCUGCUCUUCUCCCCCACCGAAAAGACCACGAUCUUCACCUCUUUUCUUUCUCGGAAACUGAUUUGGCGUUCACUGUUUAUGCCAACUGUUCUCAGCGCUCCUACUCUGUGGGGCCCACACCAGACUUUAAAGGUAGAGGCCACUAUUUAUCCUCUUCCCUCGAUCCAUGUUAAAAGACGCAAAUUAAAAAGGCCAUGGCCUCCAUAACCCUCUUCCUCUUCUCAGUAAUCUCCAGCUUCAUCUUCACCUCCAACGGUGACCUGCCCGGAAAAUGGGAAUUGCUCCUACAGAAUGCCGGGAUCUCGUCGAUGCAUACUGCGGUCACCCGAUUCGGGACUGUAGUGCUUCUCGACCGCACCAACAUCGGGCCCACUAAGCUCAAGCUGCCUCGCGGCAACUGUCGCUACGAUCCGAGGGACGCAACACUGAAGCUCGAUUGCUAUGCUCACUCUGCAAUCUUCGACCCUGCCAGCAAUCAAAUCCGGCCGUUGAAAAUCCUGACUGACACGUGGUGCUCAUCGGGUGGGUUUUUGCCGAACGGGACUCUCCUCCAAACCGGAGGCGACCUCGAUGGCAACCGUAAGGUCAGGCUCUUUGAGCCGUGUUCGUCGGGAAGUUACUGUGAUUGGAUGGAAAUUCCGGAUUAUGAUCUGGCCGUUGGACGGUGGUAUUCGACGAACCAGAUUUUGCCUGAGGGCCAUGUCAUCAUCGUCGGAGGUCGCGGGACCCACACCGUGGAGUUUUACCCUCCUAACAUGGGGACAAUUACAGAACUGCCCUUCCUCUUGGAAGCAGAGGACGCUCAGAUGGACAAUCUUUACCCUUAUGUUCAUCUUCUCCCCAAUGGUCGCCUCUUCAUUUUCGCAAAUACCAAAUCUAUCCUCUACGAUUAUAAUUUGAAUCGGGUUGUACACGUGUACCCGGAACUACAGGGAGGGCCCAGGAACUACCCAUCUGCCGGAUCAUCGGCGAUGCUCGCCUUGACGCCGGAUAACGAACAUUCGACGGCCGAGGUUGUAGUUUGCGGUGGAGCAACAUACGGUGCAUUUAUACAGCAAUCUACCGAUGCACCGGCCAAUGGGAGCUGCGGGAGAAUCGUGGCCACAGACCUCGAGGCCACAUGGCAAAUGGAGGAGAUGCCAUUUGUCAGGAUAAUGGGGGACAUGGUGAUGCUGCCCACCGGACAUUUAUUGAUAAUCAAUGGUGCACAAGCGGGGUCUCAGGGAUUUAACCUGGCUUCCAGCCCUUGUCUAAACCCGGUUCUUUAUCGGCCAGAAAUGGACGCCGGAUUACGGUUUAUGACACUUAAUCCGGCAACCGUGCCCAGAAUGUACCAUUCGACUGCGGUUUUGUUGCCCGAUGGCCGCAUUUUGACAGCAGGCAGUAACCCUAAUUACUUUUACAGUUUCAAAGGCGACUUUCCAACGGAGCUAAGGAUCGAGGCUUUCUCCCCUGAAUAUCUCUCUCCCGAUCGCCAAAAUCUCCGUCCCGUUAUCUCCAAAACACCGUCCGUUAUCCGUUACAGCGAGCAAUUCGAAGUCCAAAUAAAGGUACCGUUACCCGUUGUCGAAGUCGUUGAAAUCAACUUUGCGAGCGCGCCCUUCGCAACUCACUCUUUCUCACAAGGCCAACGCCUCGUCAAGCUUUCGGUCUCCAGCGCCCACCCCUCAAUUUCCGGCGCAAUUUCGGCGGAUUCCGGCGGCUACACCUACACAAUCUCUUGUACGGCUCCGCCCAACGGGGCGGUGGCGCCACCCAGCUAUUACAUGAUGUUUGCAGUCAAUCAAGGAGUGCCAAGUGUCGCCUCCUGGAUUCAUCUCAUCAAUUGAAAUCGAUGGUAGAGAUUCGAUAUCAAAGUGUCCAAUAAAUAAAGGCCACAGUAGAGUUGGGACAAAAUACCGUAAUGUUGUGGGCCCAACAACAGUUACGUAUACGACUACGGUGUACAGAUGAUUUAGAUUGCGGACCACAUACAUUAUUUUGAUCAAAAGGUGAAGAAAACAGAAGGAUUUGACAACACUUGCCCUUGCACUCCGGAAUCAUGGUUCAAUUGAAAGAUGAGCGGCGUCGGAAGUGGGCGAAGAACACGCGGCUGAAAGGAGGAAGCAAGAGGACACAUGGCCAAGAGAGGGAUAGAGCAUGGCACACGGCAGAGGAGGACGGAAAGAGGGAGCACGUGGCCAACUGACAAAAUGCACACACGAGAGAGGAGACAGAUAAAUCCCUACCACCAUUUUUUAUUAAAUAUCCAAAUUAACUGCCGAUAUCCUUCUGCUUUUUUUUA